GACGAACCGUGCGAACGUUGUUCGGAAUCACUGGGCUUAAAGGGCGCGUAGGCGGGCAGACCAGUCCGGGGUGAAAGCUUUCGGCUCAACCGGAAAAGGGCCUUGGAUACUGUCUGUCUGGAGGGAGGUAGGGGCCCGUGGAACUUCCGGUGGAGCGGUGAAAUGCGUUGAUAUCGGAAGGAACGCCGGUGGCGAAAGCGACGGGCUGGAUCUCUACUGACGCUGAGGCGCGAAAGCCAGGGGAGCAAACGGG
rnacentral:rRNA from 1 species